rnacentral:rRNA from 1 species
GUUUGAUCAUGGCUCAGAACGAACGCUGGCGGCGCGCCUAAUACAUGCAAGUCGAGCGAGAAGGUGUAGCAAUACACUUGUAAAGCGGCGAACGGGUGAGGAAUACAUGGGUAACCUACCCUCGAGUGGGGAAUAACUAGCCGAAAGGUUAGCUAAUACCGCAUACGAUUCCGGGACUUCGGUUCCGGAAAGAAAGCGAUACCGUGGGUAUCGCGCUCCUGGAUGGGCUCAUGUCCUAUCAGCUUGUUGGUGAGGUAAUGGCCCACCAAGGCAAUGAUCGGUAGCCGGUCUGAGAGGACGCACGGCCACACUGGAACUGAAACACGGUCCAGACUCCUACGGGAGGCAGCAGUGGGGAAUCUUGCACAAUGGGGGAAACCCUGAUGCAGCGACGCCGCGUGAGUGAUGAAGCCCUUCGGGGUGUAAAGCUCUUUCGAUGGGGACGAAUCAAGACGGUACCCGUAAAAGAAGCCCCGGCUAACUACGUGCCAGCAGCCGCGGUAAUACGUAGGGGGCCAGCGUUGUUCGGAAUUACUGGGCGUAAAGAGCGCGUAGGCGGCGCGGUGUGUUCGAUGUGAAAUCUCCCGGCUCAACCGGGAGGGGCCAUCGAAAACUGCCGUGCUAGGGUACGGGAGAGGGGAGCGGAAUUCCCGGUGUAGCGGUGAAAUGCGUAGAGAUCGGGAGGAACACCAGUGACGUAGGUGGCUCCCUGGACCGUUACCGACGCUGAGGCGCGAAAGCUAGGGGAGCAAACAGGAUUAGAUACCCUGGUAGUCCUAGCCCUAAACGAUGCUCACUGGGUGUGCCCCGAGUCCUCGGGGUGUGCCGAAGCUAACGCAUUAAGUGAGCCGCCUGGGGAGUACGGUCGCAAGGCUGAAAC